UUUGAUCCUGGCUCAGAUUGAACGCUGGCGGCAGGCCUAACACAUGCAAGUCGAGCGGUAGAGAGAAGCUUGCUUCUCUUGAGAGCGGCGGACGGGUGAGUAAAGCCUAGGAAUCUGCCUGGUAGUGGGGGAUAACGUUCGGAAACGGACGCUAAUACCGCAUACGUCCUACGGGAGAAAGCAGGGGACCUUCGGGCCUUGCGCUAUCAGAUGAGCCUAGGUCGGAUUAGCUAGUUGGUGAGGUAAUGGCUCACCAAGGCGACGAUCCGUAACUGGUCUGAGAGGAUGAUCAGUCACACUGGAACUGAGACACGGUCCAGACUCCUACGGGAGGCAGCAGUGGGGAAUAUUGGACAGUGGGCGAAAGCCUGAUCCAGCCAUGCCGCGUGUGUGAAGAAGGUCUUCGGAUUGUAAAGCACUUUAAGUUGGGAGGAAGGGCAUUAACCUAAUACGUUAGUGUUUUUGACGUUACCGACAGAAUAAGCACCGGCUAANUCUGUGCCAGCAGCCGCGGUAAUACAAGAGGGUGCAAGCGUUAAUCGGAAUUAACUGGGCGUAAAGCGCGCGUAGGUGGUUUGUUAAGUUGGAUGUGAAAUCCCCGGGCUCAACCUGGGAACUGCAUUCAAAACUGACUGACUAGAGUAUGGUAGAGGGUGGUGGAAUUUCCUGUGUAGCGGUGAAAUGCGUAGAUAUAGGAAGGAACACCAGUGGCGAAGGCGACCACCUGGACUAAUACUGACACUGAGGUGCGAAAGCGUGGGGAGCAACACAGGAUUAGAUACCCUGGUAGUCCACGCCGUAAACGAUGUCAACUAGCCGUUGGGAGCCUUGAGCUCUUAGUGGCGCAGCUAACGCAUUAAGUUGACCGCCUGGGGAGUACGGCCGCAAGGUUAAAACUCAAAUUGAAUUGACGGGGGCCCGCACAAGCGGUGGAGCAUGUGGUUUAAUUCGAAGCAACGCGAAGAACCUUACCAGGCCUUGACAUCCAAUUGAACUUUCUAGAGAUAGAUUGGUGCCUUCGGGAACAUUGAGAC
rnacentral:rRNA from 1 species